rnacentral:misc_RNA from 1 species
GAUGAAGAACGUAGCGAAAUGCGAUAAGUAAUGUGAAUUGCAGAAUUCAGUGAAUCAUCGAAUCUUUGAACGCACAUUGCGCCCUCUGGUAUUCCGGGGGGCAUGCCUGUUCGAGCGUCAUUAUAACCACUCAAGCUCUCGCUUGGUAUUGGAGUUCGCGAUCUCGUGGCUCCUAAAAUCAGUGGCGGUGCCUGUCGGCUCUACGCGUAGUAAUACUCCUCGCGAUUGAGUCCGGUAGGUUUACUUGCCAGCAACCCCCAAUUUUUACAGGUUGACCUCGGAUCAGGUAGGGAUACCCGCUGAACUUAAGCAUAUCAAUAAGCGGAGGA